rnacentral:rRNA from 1 species
AUUGAACGCUGGCGGCAGGCCUAACACAUGCAAGUCGAGCGAGCGGCGGACGGGUGAGUAAUGUAUGGGGACUGCCUGAUAGAGGGGGAUAACUACUGGAAACGGUGGCUAAUACCGCAUACUAUCGGAUAACCCAUAUGGGAUUAGCUAGUAGGUGGGGUAAAGGCUCACCUAGGCGACGAUCUCUAGCUGGUCUGAGAGGAUGAUCAGCCAAACGGGAAAUGGGAAAGGGCCCAGACUCCAACGGAGGCAGCAGUGGGGAAUAUUGCACAAUGGGCGCAAGCCGGAUGCAGCCAGGCCGGGUGUAUGAAGAAGGCCUUAGGGUUGUAAAGUACUUUCAGCGGGGAGGCGUAACCCGCAGAAGAAGCACCGGCAAACUCCGGGCCAGCAGCGGGGGUAAUU